rnacentral:rRNA from 1 species
AGAUAGAAAAUAGGUGCCCGUACCGCAAACCGACACAGGUAGUCAAGAUGAGAAUUCUAAGGUGAGCGAGCGAACUCUCGUUAAGGAACUCGGCAAAAUGACCCCGUAACUUCGGGAGAAGGGGUGCUCUUUAGGGUUAACGCCCAGAAGAGCCGCAGUGAAUAGGCCCAAGCGACUGUUUAUCAAAAACACAGGUCUCUGCUAAACCGUAAGGUGAUGUAUAGGGGCUGACGCCUGCCCGGUGCUGGAAGGUUAAGAGGAGUGGUUAGCUUCUGCGAAGCUACGAAUCGAAGCCCCAGUAAACGGCGGCCGUAACUAUAACGGUCCUAAGGUAGCGAAAUUCCUUGUCGGGUAAGUUCCGACCCGCACGAAAGGCGUAACGAUUUGGGCACUGUCUCAACGAGAGACUCGGUGAAAUCAUAGUACCUGUGAAGAUGCAGGUUACCCGCGACAGGACGGAAAGACCCCGUGGAGCUUUACUGUAGCCUGAUAUUGAAAUUCGGCACAGCUUGUACAGGAUAGGUAGGAGCCUUUGAAACGUGAGCGCUAGCUUACGUGGAGGCGCUGGUGGGAUACUACCCUAGCUGUGUUGGCUUUCUAACCCGCACCACUUA